GGUGAACGCUGGCGGCGUGCCUAAUACAUGCAAGUCGAGCGAACGGACGAGAAGCUUGCUUUUCUGAUGUUAGCGGCGGACGGGUGAGUAACACGUGGAUAACCUACCUAUAAGACUGGGAUAACUUCGGGAAACCGGAGCUAAUACCGGAUAAUAUUUUGAACCGCAUGGUUCAAAAGUGAAAGACGGUCUUGCUGUCACUUAUAGAUGGAUCCGCGCUGCAUUGGCUAGUUGGUAAGGUAACGGCUUACCAAGGCAACGAUGCAUGGCCGACCUGAGGGGGUGAUCGCCCACCCUGGAACUGAGACACGGUCCUGACUCCUGCGGGAGGCAGCAGUAGGGAAUCUUACGCAAUGGGCGAAAGCCUGACGGAGCAACGCCGCGUGAGUGAUGAAGGUCUUCGGAUCGUAAAACUCUGUUAUUAGGGAAGAACAUAUGUGUAAGUAACUGUGCACAUCUUGACGGUACCUAAUCAGAAAGCCACGGCUAACUACGUG
rnacentral:rRNA from 1 species